rnacentral:lncRNA from 13 species
AUGGUGAAGACACAAACUGCAGAAGGAGCAAAGACACAGAAUAACGCACAGAGAUGCAUUGUCAACGUCCCACUAAAGGCUCUAUCAACACACUGCCCUGAACACUUAACGCUCUUGUUUUUUGUACGACCUUUCUACAACCUCUCUAUCACAUAUCUACAACUUCUCUACAACCUAUCUAUAACAUAUCUUCAACCUCUCUAUCACAUAUCUACAACCUCUCUAUAACAUAUCUUCAACCUCUCUAUCACAUAUCUACAACCUCUCUAUAACAUAUCUACAACCCCUCUAUAACAUAUCUACAACCCCUCUAUAACAUAUCUACAACCUCUCUAUCACAUAUCUACAACCUCUCUAUCACAUAUCUACAACCUCUCUAUAACAUAUAUACAACCUCUCUAUCACAUAUCUACAACCUCUCUAUAACAUAUCUACAACCUCUCUAUAACAUAUCUACAACCUCUCUAUAACAUAUCUACAACCCCUCUAUAACAUAUCUACAACCCGUCUAUAACAUAUCUACAACCUCUCAUUAUACCAGUCUCUUCCAAGCCACCUGUCCCCUUUGCCCUUUUCAGAGACACACAGAGGUGAGACACUGUAUGAGGGGAACAGGUGAACAAGAAGGCGGAGGAUGACGACGAUACUGUAACUGGCCAGGUCUCUUACUUCGUACACCAAUAACUCCCAUAGGAAGUGGUUCAAUCUAAUAACAGCCACACAGAGGGGCGGUUGUCUCCUACUCUCGAACAGUAUGUCCGCUCAGAAGCAUUUUGUCAUUCCAUAAACAUCUCUAGAAUAACCUGGUAUCUAUGGGCUUUACUGCAGAAAGCUAAUCGGUGACAUCGGCGCAAACAUCUGAGCUUCACCUCUCAUGUUAUACGGCUACUGACCGGGGUUCUGCUCAAAUUGCAUUGAAAUGAACUCAAUUCCGGAAAGGAAUUCCCGAUGCCUAAACCAAAAAGGACCCAUUUGUUUUGUGUGAGGGCUUUCCAGUUCACGCCCAGAGUUCCCACCCAGUGGGACAAUAAAUAGACCCUAACUCUGCAACUGGCGACAGCAGAAGUGCCACUCUCACUAAAAACCAGGUAAUGGCAACGUCGAGGUGCUACAUGCUCAGCAACUCAGGACGACAUCUCAGAGUCACACACACACACACACACACACACCUUUAUCCCCACUCAUCUAAAAACAGAUAAGACAACUGGAUUGGUUAAAAAAAAUCAUCAGAUCUAACUUUCUGGUUCACCCACCAUUGGGACCUACCUUUUUGCCUCGCACAUCUUUAAUGACGGGCGUCCAACCUCAAACAAACGUGUCCAGGUGAGUUAAGAUCCCCCUCGAUAAAGAUCAGAAUGAAGCGUUCAGAUCAGAAUGUGUGUGUGUGUGUUCCAAAUAUUAUAUGUAGAAACAGUGUAACUGGCAUACAUAUACUCUGCCUUAUUUGUCUUGCGUGCGUGUGCGUG